rnacentral:rRNA from 1 species
UACAGGGGGGGGCAAGCGUUGUUCGGAAUUACUGGGCGUAAAGGGCUCGUAGGCGGCCAACUAAGUCACACGUGAAAUCCCCAGGCUUAACCUGGGAACUGCGUGUGGUACUGGAUGGCUUGAAUUCGGGAGAGGGAUGCAGAAUUCCAGGUGUAGCGGUGAAAUGCGUAGAUAUCUGGAGGAAUACCGGUGGCGAAGGCGGCAUCCUGGACCGACAUUGACGCUGAUGAGCGAAAGCUAGGGGAGCAAACGGGG